GCGUAGAUAUGUGGAAGAACACCAGUGGCGAAAGCGGCUUGCUAGAUCGUAACUGACGUUGAGGCUCGAAAGUAUGGGUAGCAAACGGGAUUAGAUACCCCGGUAGUCCAUACCGUAAACGAUGGGUGCUAGUUGUUAAGAGGUUUCCGCCUCCUAGUGACGUAGCAAACGCAUUAAGCACCCCGCCUGAGGAGUACGGCCGCAAGGCUAAAACUUAAAGGAAUUGACGGGGACCCGCACAAGCGGUGGAGCAUGUGGUUUAAUUCGAAGAUACGCGAAAAACCUUACCAGGUCUUGACAUACCAAUGAUCGCUUUUGUAAUGAAAGCUUUUCUUCGGAACAUUGGAUACAGGUGGUGCAUGGUCGUCGUCAGCUCGUGUCGUGAGAUGUUGGGUUAAGUCCCGCAACGAGCGCAACCCUUGUUAUUAGUUGCCAGCAUUUAGUUGGGCACUCUAAUGAGACUGCCGGUGAUAAACCGGAGGAAGGUGGGGACGACGUCAGAUCAUCAUGCCC
rnacentral:rRNA from 1 species